CAGAAUGUCAGUUCACCUUUGAGAAGGCUAUAGAGUACGUACCAUUCGAAGCUGCUAACUUGUGCCAAACCUCCACUGCUGCUACUACGCCUGUGACUCUUACUACUCCAUUCAAUAUAACGUCCUCUGUGGCCUCUGGGACUAUCACAAACCCAGUCACAGUGGCAGCUGCAAUGAGCAUGAGAAGUCCAGUAAAUGUAUCAAGUGCAGUUAAUAUAUCCAGUCCGAUGAACUUAGGGCAUCCUGUCACUAUAACCAGUCCACUGUCCAUGACAUCUCCACUCACGCUCACCACCCCGGUGAACCUGCCCACGCCGGUCACUGCUCCAGUGAACAUAGCUCACCCCGUCACCAUCACGUCCCCCAUGAACCUGCCCACGCCCAUGACCCUGGCUGGGCCCCUCAACAUAGCCAUGAGGCCGGUGGAGAGCAUGCCUUUCCUGCCCCAGGCCUUGCCCACCUCUCCUCCCUGGUAAUCCAGCUCGAAACAGUAUUAAAAAGGAUGAAAAUGGAAUCCUUACCAGCAGUUCUUUUUUUUUUUUUUUUUUUUUGUUUGGUUGGGUUUUUUUUUUUUUUUUUUUUUUUUUUUUUUCCGUUGGGUUUUUUCGUUUUGUUCUGUUUUUAGUCAAUAAUAAAUUCAGACUGAGACACUGGGGCAGCACCAUCAGAGACCACAGUAGCAUCUUCCCCUUUGAUUUGGCUCACAUGGUUCAGGCUUGAGUUUCACUGGAGCACAUCAUUUAAAGUAAGUUUUACCUUGUAGCUGACUGAUGCUGAAGUAGAGCAGAUACUUAUUUGCCAGAGUUU